rnacentral:rRNA from 1 species
GCAAUGCGCGAAAGCGCGACGGGGUCACCCCGAGUGCCGUCCGCUGAGGGCGGCUUUUGCCUGGUUUAACCAGCCGAGUGAAUAAGGGGAGGGCAAGUCUGGUGUCAGCCGCCGCGGUAAUACCAGCUCCUCGAGUGGUUGGGACGAUUAUUGGGUCUAAAGCGUCCGUAGCCGGCCGGAAAAGUUCUCCGUUAAAUCCAACGAUCCAAUCGUUGGGCUGCGGGGAAUACUCUUCGGCUUGGGGGCGAGGGAGGUCGGCGGUAGUCUCGGGGUAGGGGCGAAAUCCUAUAAUCCCGAGAGGACCACCAGUGGCGAAGGCGGCCGACUAAAGCGCGCCCGACGGUGAGGGACGAAAGCUGGGGGAGCGAACGGGAUUAGAUACCCCGGUAGUCCCAGCUGUAAACGAUGCAGGCUAGGUGUUGGGACGGCCACGAGCUGUCCCAGUGCCGCAGGGAAGCCAUUAAGCCUGCCACCUGGGGAGUACGGUCGCAAGGCUGAA